UCGAACGGCAGCAUGAUCUAGCUUGCUAGAUUGAUGGCGAGUGGCGAACGGGUGAGUAAUACAUCGGAACGUGCCCUGUAGUGGGGGAUAACUAGUCGAAAGAUUAGCUAAUACCGCAUACGACCUGAGGGUGAAAGUGGGGGACCGCAAGGCCUCAUGCUAUAGGAGCGGCCGAUGUCUGAUUAGCUAGUUGGUGAGGUAAAGGCUCACCAAGGCGACGAUCAGUAGCUGGUCUGAGAGGACGAUCAGCCACACUGGGACUGUGACACGGCCCAGACUCCUACGGGAGGCAGCAGUGGGAAAUUUUGGACAAUGGGGGCAACCCUGAUCCAGCAAUGCCGCGUGUGUGAAGAAGGCCUUCGGGUUGUAAAGCACUUUUGUCCGGAAAGAAAUCGCACUUACUAAUAUUAGGUGUGGAUGACGGUACCGGAAGAAUAAGGACCGGCUAACUACGUGCCAGCAGCCGCGGUAAUACGUAGGGUCCAAGCGUUAAUCGGAAUUACUGGGCGUAAAGCGUGCGCAGGCGGUUGUGCAAGACCGAUGUGAAAUCCCCGGGCUUAACCUGGGAAUUGCAUUGGUGACUGCACGGCUAGAGUGUGUCAGAGGGGGGUAGAAUUCCACGUGUAGCAGUGAAAUGCGUAGAGAUGUGGAGGAAUACCGAUGGCGAAUGCAGCCCCCUGGGAUAACACUGACGCUCAUGCACGAAAGCGUGGGNAGCAAACAGGAUUAGAUACCCUGGUAGUCCGCGCCCCUAAACGAUGUCAACUAGUUGUUGGGGAUUCAUUUCCUUAGUAACGUAGCUAACGCGUGAAGUUGACCGCCUGGGGAGUACGGUCGCAAGAUUAAAACUCAAAGGAAUUGACGGGGACCCGCACAAGCGGUGGAUGAUGCGGAUUAAUUCGAUGCAACGCGAAAAACCUUACCUACCCUUGACAUGCCACUAACGAAGCAGAGAUGCAUUAGGUGCUCGAAAGAGAAAGUGGACACAGGUGCUGCAUGGCUGUCGUCAGCUCGUGUCGUGAGAUGUUGGGUUAAGUCCCGCAACGAGCGCAACCCUUGUCUCUAGUUGCUACGAAAGGGCACUCUAGAGAGACUGCCGGUGACAAACCGGAGGAAGGUGGGGAUGACGUCAAGUCCUCAUGGCCCUUAUGGGUAGGGCUUCACACGUCAUACAAUGGUGCAUACAGAGGGUUGCCAAGCCGCGAGGUGGAGCUAAUCCCAGAAAAUGCAUCGUAGUCCGGAUCGUAGUCUGCAACUCGACUACGUGAAGCUGGAAUCGCUAGUAAUCGCGGAUCAGCAUGCCGCGGUGAAUACGUUCCCGGGUCUUGUACACACCGCCCGUCACACCAUGGGAGUGGGUUUUGCCAGAAGUAGUUAGCCUAACCGCAAGGGGGGCGAUUACCACGGCAGGGUUCAUGACUGGGGUGAAGUCGUAACAAGG
rnacentral:rRNA from 1 species